UGUCCACACUUAGGUCCAUAGGCACAGGUCA
rnacentral:piRNA from 1 species